UCGGCCUCUCGCAGGAUGCUGCUGAUGGAGUUCUUUCCUCCUCCAUGAUUUAACUGGUGGCCACCCCACCAAAUGGUUUUCUUCAUCACCAUUCCUGUAUGAACACCAUCAAAGAUGUCACUCUCGAAUCUUGAUGGUGGAAAGAUAUGCAAAGCAAAGCGUGGCAAGGUUCUGUUCUCUAGUUUAAUGGAUGGCCCACUUCAAGGAAGCGAUAUGCAUCAACGCACUAUGGUUUAAGUUCCCAGAGAAAGCUUGGCUAACUUAACCAUGGAUUGGAGGAUAAGAAAACUUUGGUCUUAUCGUUAAAAGUGCUUAUUAUCCAUGUUAGUUUAAGUACAUUAACUUAUAACUGUGUGAAGAGUAAUAAUGCAUUAUCUUUAACUCGUUUAAAAUGUAUUAUUGAAAUCAUGUGUAACAUUUUCAUUAUGUAAGUUAUUAAUGUCUUCCAUUA